AUUAAAACCGGAAAGCAUGGACACCCAGACAGCUUACUGUCAAUGACUGUACUAUUCACUGUCUUCAACAAAAGUCAGCUAUUCCAGGAAACUCUCGUCCAGAAAGAUAAAAAUUGGAGAAUGAGACAUCAAUCAAUAUGCGGAAGAUUUACAUGGUUCGGUCUGGAAGGGUGGGACAAUUCGAAGGGUGAGGAGAGAAGAGGAGCUUCCGGG
rnacentral:lncRNA from 10 species